rnacentral:rRNA from 1 species
GGUCUGCCGUCUUUGUUGAUGGGGGGCCUGGCCCGGAGGAGCCACACAAACAAAAUGUAAAGAAUGUAAACUAUCGUAACAAAAACAAAACUUUCAACAACGGAUUUCUUGGCUCUCGCAUCGAUGAAGAACGCAGCGAAAUGCGAUAAGUAAUGUGAAUUGCAGAAUUCAGUGAAUCAUCGAAUCUUUGAACGCACCUUGCGCCUCUUGGUAUUCCGAGAGGCAUGCCUGUUUGAGUGUCUUAUAAAAUCAAUCCCCACGGGUUUCUGACCUGGCGGUGGACUUGGAGUUGGGCGUCUGCCGGUCACACGGCUCGCCUUAAAGACCUUAGUGGGAUCAUCGGCCUAUGGCUUGACGUAAUAAGUUUCGUCUCGUCCGGUCUUUGGAGCCCGCUCACAACCCGCCCUCGGGCAACUACUUUAUGCUAGACCUCAAAUCAGGUAGGACUACCCGCUGAACUUAAGCAUAUCAAUAAGCGGAGGA